GUGCCAGACUCCUACGGGAGGCAGCAGUGAGGAAUAUUGGUCAAUGGUCGGGAGACUGAACCAGCCAAGCCGCGUGAGGGAGGAAGGUACAGAGUCUCGUAAACCUCUUUUGUCAGGGAACAAAGGCGGGGACGUGUCCCCGGAUGAGUGUACCUGAAGAAAAAGCAUCGGCUAACUCCGUGCCAGCAGCCGCGGUAAUACGGAGGAUGCGAGCGUUAUCCGGAUUUAUUGGGUUUAAAGGGUGCGCAGGCGGUCUGUUAAGUCGGGGGUGAAAGCCCGGGGCUCAACCCCGGCGAGCCGUUGAAACUGGCGGGCUGGAGUUGGAGAGAAGUACGCGGAAUGCGCGGUGUAGCGGUGAAAUGCAUAGAUAUCACGCAGAACUCCGAUUGCGAAGGCAGCGCACCGGCGCCCUACUGACGCUCAGGCACGAAAGCGUGGGUAUCGAACAGGAUUAGAUACCCUAGUAA
rnacentral:rRNA from 1 species